UCUAUUAUGACAGAUAAAUGUGUUGGAUUUAAGACCCAAUUAUAAAGAUUUUUAAUCUUUUUAUAGAA
rnacentral:tRNA from 1 species